UGCAGAGAUGAAUUGUUGGGGCUGUCGCUUUAACGUAACCUGCGAUACAACCAAAUUAUUAUUCUGUUGAAUUUCCCUUUUUUCUUCCUUGCACAGUAAGUCCAGGAUGACGCUGCCCCAGGUACCCAGGAGUACAUUAUGUUGCGGCAGGAUUCCAUCCAUUCUGCGGAUAUAAGGGGUAAAGGCUCCCCUUUUCGUGCUAAGUGUCAUGAAAUCUUCUGCUGCCCACUGAAGCAAGUCAUCCUCAAGGACAGCUCAGAGGCCGAAGAGCCCCAGCUGAAGGGGAUCGUAACGAAGCUGUACAGUCGACAGGGCUUUCAUUUGCAGCUCCAAGCAGAUGGAACCAUCGAUGGCACUAAAGAGGAGGACAGUGGUUUCAGUAAGU